rnacentral:rRNA from 1 species
GUGGGGAAUUUUCCGCAAUGGGCGAAAGCCUGACGGAGCAACGCCGCGUGAGGGAGGAAGGUCUUUGGAUUGUAAACCUCUUUUCUCAAGGAAGAAGUUCUGACGGUACUUGAGGAAUCAGCCUCGGCUAACUCCGUGCCAGCAGCCGCGGUAAUACGGGGGAGGCAAGCGUUAUCCGGAAUUAUUGGGCGUAAAGCGUCCGCAGGUGGUCAGCCAAGUCUGCCGUCAAAUCAGGUUGCUUAACGACCUAAAGGCGGUGGAAACUGGCAGACUAGAGAGCAGUAGGGGUAGCAGGAAUUCCCAGUGUAGCGGUGAAAUGCGUAGAGAUUGGGAAGAACAUCGGUGGCGAAAGCGUGCUACUGGGCUGUAUCUGACACUCAGGGACGAAAGCUAGGGGAGCGAAAGGGAUUAGAUACCCUAGUAGUCC